UGGAACAUAUGAAACAAUAAAUUUCUCAUAGUAUCUCCCACUCAAUACAUAGUGCUACUUUUUCACGGAACUGUAAUCAUCUAAACAACCUCGAAAAAGAUGAUGUAACCCUAAUUGGAUUCCAUGUCCGGAUACAACAGAUAGUGCAGAUAAUUAACCACAUUGGAAUGCAUGCAUGAAACACAAUUCCAUUAUCAAGUGCACUCUGGAAUAAAAUCAAAUGAAUUUAAUUGAAAGCAUUGGGCGCAUAAGGACAUUCGCUGCACACAUGAUCCAUGACAAAGGAAAUUGAAAUGUGGAACGAUGCAUCCUUGCAACUAUUUUUUCCACCUUGAAAUUGUUUGUGUCUCGAAACUGAUACGUAAAAGCGAUGACAGUGGCUUGUACAUCGGAUCUUGAAGCGUUGUUUACAUCAAAGCAUGAAA